GCCUCCCUGAUUGAUUGCAUGAGUCAUCGCCGGACUUUUAAUCCGAAGGUCGUGGGUUCGAGCCCCACAGGGGGUACCG
rnacentral:tRNA from 1 species